rnacentral:rRNA from 1 species
CCCUUAGAUGUUCUGGGCUGCACGCGCGCUACACUGAUGCAUUCAACGAGCUUUCGAUCUUGCCCGAGAGGGUUGGAUAAUCUUUUUAAAGUGCAUCGUGAUGGGGAUAGAUUAUUGCAAUUAUUAAUCUUGAACGAGGAAUUCCUAGUAAACGCAAGUCAUCAGCUUGCAUUGAUUACGUCCCUGCCCUUUGUACACACCGCCCGUCGCACCUACCGAUUGAAUGACUCGGUGAAAAAUCGGGACUGUGGUCUAGCUUGCUUAAUUGCAAACUUGACUGUGGGAACUUUCUUUAACCUAUUCAUUUAGAGGAAGGUGAAGUCGUAACA